AGCGAACGCUGGCGGCAGGCCUAACACAUGCAAGUCGAACGGAUCCUUCGUGAUUAGUGGCGGACGGGUGAGUAACACGUGGGAACGUGCCCUUUGGUUCGGAACAACUCAGGGAAACUUGGGCUAAUACCGGAUGUGCCCUUCUGGGGAAAGAUUUAUCGCCAUUGGAGCGGCCCGCGUCUGUUUAGCUAGUUGGUGAGGUAACGGCCCAUCAAGGCGACGAUCAGUAGCUGGGCUGAGAGGCUGAGCAGCCACACUGGGACUGAGACACGGCCCAGACUCCUACGGGAGGGAGGAGUGGGGAAUCUUGCGAAAUGGGCGAAAGCCUGACGCAGCCCUGCCGCGUGAAUGAUGAAGGUCUUAGAGAUGUAAAAUUCUUUAAGCGGCGACGAUAAUGACGGUACCCGCAGAAGAAGCUCCGGCUAACUUCGUG
rnacentral:rRNA from 1 species